ensembl:lncRNA
GGAUAAACGUUUUUAACAUUUAUGAAGUAGCAAAAUAAAGCAAAGAAAGGCUCAGAACAUCAAGCUCGUAGAUGAGGAAAUUAAAGUACAUAAAAUAUUUAUUCAUUUGUGCUUAGUGGCUGUCAGCCAUGCAUGCACUGGGGAAAUGGUAUGUUUCUAGGCACAGUUUUAUUCUUUCUCCUAUUUUUUUUUUUUCCUCCUCUCCCAGAGAUGAACAGGAACAAUUUGCUAAAUAGUGGCUGAACGCUCGGCUCAUUUUCCACGUUCCAUUAAUGCUUCAUCUCUUAAUACCCCCGAAACAAAAAGGGGAAGUUGGUACAAGGCAUUAUUCUCCUUUCAAAUCACGGUGAAAAGGAACGUGUUUCCAGGCCAAUAGUCAAGAUUAUGAACUGGUGUCUGUAUCACAGCGGGGCCGGGGCUGAUAACGUGUGCCAUCUUGGACGAGGCUCCGUAAUGAGCCACAGAAAGAGAUGUAAGACAUUCUUCCUGCUCUCACAGCUGUCCCCACUGCGGCCCACAUCUGCAGGAUGCUGUGGCACGGCGCUGGGCUGCAUGCUGUGCUCUGUGCGUGCUUCCCAUGUGUGCAGGUCGCACCCACCAUGCAGGCAGCGAGGAACCACGCCGUGCUCCCCGGGGUGCUGAGCAGCACUGGGUGCUGGAGGCUCUGGGUGCUGCUGGAUGGGCUCUGUCUCCCUCUUGUGACUGUCCUGGCCACGUCACCAUGCGGUUGGAACGUGGCAGCUCCCACAGAGCAGGAGGCAAAGCUCUGGAGAUGCGUCCUCUGCACGGAGGAAAAUGGUUUGCAUGGCAGCCACCAGCGUUUGGUUCUGCAUUUGCAUUAAUGAACGCUGGGAGGCACCAGCAAGAGCCCCAGAAAGCAAGAGAAGGGACGCGUUGAGGUCAAGGAGAGGCUGACAUUUCGAUGUUCUGGAGACAGAUGAGCACCUGUGGAGCUGGAUAUCCCAGCAGCAGCGACUGACCUGCAGACAUUUCUCCCACAGCUGCUGCCUUUAUUCUUCUGUGGCUAAUCCUGCAUGUCACCGAAGCGGGCAGGUGGUGCGGCCGCGGGAGUGACUGAUGCUGUGCAUCUCACACCAAUCGAUAGCAGAAUCUGUGUAGACGAUGGAUAUUUUGGUGUUUAAUUCACUGCAUAAAAUGAAACAGGUAAAUCACUCAGGAGAGAUGGGAGCUGAUGUUAAUAGCUACAUUUGUAGCGCUAUCUAAAAAUGAAUUCUGCAAUUACCCACUCAUAACAUCAUUUGUGCUCGGCGGCAUGAAAUCUCUGCGCCUCAUCCUCCCCAGGGCAUGCGGUCGUGAUGGAAGAGUCCUCUGCCUUUGUGCUGAAUGCACCCAAAGGUGCAGCGCUGAGGAGGUGCUGAGCCCUCUGCCCUGCGCUCAGCAGAGCAGCACACGGUGGGACUGAAAUAUCCCAGAGCUACGAGGCGCUGUGCCACGCACACGGCGGAGACGUGCGUCAGGGUGCAGAGAGACCCAAACUCCAACCGUGCGUGGAGACACUUCCACGCCCGCCUACCCGCACCACUACAUUUCAGUGUCUGUGCCAAUUCCGUGCAGCCACGAGAUCAGAAUUCUCCCUGGGUGACUCAUCUCCCUCCUGUUGUGCUCCUGCUCAGCGCGUCGCGGUGCCGCCUGACGCGGGGUGCAGUGCUGCGCUCCUGGAUGCAAUAACACAGCUUCUGAUGGGCAAGAGCCCAGCCCAACCUGGCUGGGGUGUGGGAGGGGGUGCUGAGCUGUUCCCCUCCUGGCUGCAAUGCUUUUGCUUGCUCCCAGCCCUGUGAAAGGAGGAGGCCCCGCAUGAUACAAAUAUCAACCAAUACAGCAGGAAAGAGCCAAAUUAAUC